AGAGUUUGAUCCUGGCUCAAGAUGAACGCUAGCGGCAGGCCUAAUACAUGCAAGUCGAACGGUAACAGGGUAGCAAUACCGCUGACGAGUGGCGCACGGGUGCGUAACGCGUAUGCAACUUACCUUAAACUGGGAGAUAGCCCCUCGAAAGAGGGAUUAAUACCCCAUAGUAAUUAGAUGAGGCAUCUCAUUUAGUUUAAAGCUCCGGCGGUUUAAGAUAGGCAUGCGUGACAUUAGCUAGUUGGUGAGGUAAUGGCUCACCAAGGCUACGAUGUCUAGGGGUUCUGAGAGGAUGAUCCCCCACACUGGUACUGAGACACGGACCAGACUCCUACGGGAGGCAGCAGUAAGGAAUAUUGGUCAAUGGGCGCAAGCCUGAACCAGCCAUGCCGCGUGAAGGAUGACGGCCCUAUGGGUUGUAAACUUCUUUUGUACGGGAAUAAACCCAGGUACGUGUACCUGGCUGAAUGUACCGUAAGAAUAAGGAUCGGCUAACUCCGUGCCAGCAGCCGCGGUAAUACGGAGGAUCCAAGCGUUAUCCGGAUUCAUUGGGUUUAAAGGGUGCGUAGGCGGACUUAUAAGUCAGUGGUGAAAUCCUGCAGCUUAACUGCAGAACUGCCAUUGAUACUGUAAGUCUUGAGUGUGUUUGAAGUGGGCGGAAUGUGUCAUGUAGCGGUGAAAUGCUUAGAUAUGACACAGAACACCGAU
rnacentral:rRNA from 1 species